AGUCAGAUGUGGGGUUCGAACCCACGCCCUCACUAAAGGACCAGAACUUAAGUCUGGCGCCUUAGACCACUCGGCCAAUCUGAC
rnacentral:tRNA from 1 species